rnacentral:rRNA from 1 species
UACGUAGGGUGCAAGCGUUGUCCGGAAUUAUUGGGCGUAAAGAGCUCGUAGGCGGUCUGUCGCGUCUGCUGUGAAAACUCAGGGCUUAACCCUGAGCUUGCAGUGGGUACGGGCAGACUGGAGUGCGGUAGGGGAGACUGGAAUUCCUGGUGUAGCGGUGAAAUGCGCAGAUAUCAGGAGGAACACCGGUGGCGAAGGCGGGUCUCUGGGCCGUAACUGACGCUGAGGCGCGAAAGCGUGGGGAGCAAACAGG